UACGUAGGGUGCGAGCGUUAAUCGGAAUUACUGGGCGUAAAGCGUGCGCAGGCGGUGAUGUAAGACAGGUGUGAAAUCCCCGGGCUUAACCUGGGAACUGCAUUUGUGACUGCAUCGCUGGAGUGCGGCAGAGGGGGAUGGAAUUCCGCGUGUAGCAGUGAAAUGCGUAGAUAUGCGGAGGAACACCGAUGGCGAAGGCAAUCCCCUGGGCCUGCACUGACGUUCAUGCACGAAAGCGUGGGGAGCAAACAGG
rnacentral:rRNA from 1 species